rnacentral:rRNA from 1 species
AAUCAACGCUGGCGGCGUGCCUAACACAUGCAAGUCGAACGAGAAAGGUACCUUCGGGUGCCGAGUAAAGUGGCGAACGGGUGAGUAACGCGUGGGUGAUCUGCCCUUUGGUGGGGAUAACCCGGGGAAACCCGGGCUAAUACCGCAUAAGCCUCUAGAUUCGUUUUUAGAGGGAAAUGUUUUUAGCCGAAGGAGGAGUCCGCGUCCGAUUAGUUAGUUGGUGAGGUAAAGGCUCACCAAGACUGCGAUCGGUAGCCGGUCUGAGAGGACGGACGGCCACACUGGGACUGAGACACGGCCCAGACUCCUACGGGAGGCAGCAGUGGGGAAUUUUGGGCAAUGGGGGCAACCCUGACCCAGCAACGCCGCGUGGAGGAUGACGGUUUUCGGAUCGUAAACUCCUGUCCUGAGGGACGAAGAAGUGACGGUACCUCAGGAGGAAGCCCCGGCUAACUCCGUG